UAUAUAGCCAUGAAAAGAGUAAGAUCAUGUUCUUUUCAGCAACAUGGGUAAAGCUGGAAACCAUUAUCCUAAGUGAAUUAAUUCAGAAACAGAAAACAAAAUACCACAUGUUCUUGCUUAUAAGUGGGAGACAAACAUUGAGUAAACAUGGACACAAAGGGGAACAAUAGAUACCGGAGCCUACACUUAAAGGUGGAGGUGUGGGGGAGGGGUGAGGAUUAAAACGAACUAUGCCCACUACCCGGGUGAUGAAAUCACUGGUACACCAAACCCCAGCGACCCAUGAUUUACCCAUGUAAAAAACCUGUACAUGUGCCCCUGAACCUAAAA